rnacentral:rRNA from 1 species
AUGAAGGGCCUCUUGCUGUGCGCGCUUGCACUUGCCUUUGCGAUGGUGACCACCCACGCCCAGCUGCAGUACUGUGAGAAGCGCUGCGGCAAGCAGGCCGACGGCAUGGAGUGCCCCAACAACCUCUGUUGCAGCAAGGAUGGGUACUGCGGCUUGGGCGUCAACUACUGCAGCCCUGCCGCCGGCUGCCAGAGCGGCGCCUGCUCCGACAACAAGAUCUGCGGCGUGCAGGCCGGUGGUGCAUUGUGCCCUAACAACCAUUGUUGUAGCUCGGGCGGUCGUUGUGGCUAUGGCAGUGAAUACUGCAGUGGCAGCCGCGGCUGCCAGAGCGGUCCUUGCUGGGCUGACCUUAAGUGUGGCCACCUCGCCAAUGGUAAGCAAUGCCCCAAUAACCUUUGCUGCAGCCAACAUGGUUAUUGUGGCUUAGGACCGGAGUUCUGCGGUGUUAGGUGCCAAAACGGCGCCUGCAGCAUGGACAGGCCGUGUGGCAAUAAGGCUAAUGGUGCACGAUGCACCAACAACUAUUGUUGUAGCCCGAAUGGAUCUUGUGGACUUGGCAAGGAUUAUUGUGGUACCGGCUGCCAGAGCGGUGCAUGCUACACUCCUUCCUUCCUGGCUAACAUACUCAAGUGUGUACCUUGA